GUUACGGCGCGAGGGUCUCUGGGUGCUUUCGCCUCAGAGGGUACUGAAAUUGUUAGUGUUCUAGGGUGUGGGUCUCUUGGGUCGUAAGAGCAAGGCUUGGUGUGAGGUGUACUGCCCGGUGAUUCCCGCACUGUCCUGGGACGCAUGCAGAGUCCGUAGGUUACGCCAGGUCCUUACAGCGUCACAGGUAAGCCUCUCCCUGGAGCUGCCAGCCCUGCCUCUGCCAAGAUCGUUCCUAGUGCUUUCCGGAUUUGGUGGUGGGCCAGAGUGGUCCUGUAAUAGGUGGCUUCCUGUUUGAAGGGCUCUCCGAUGAGGAGGAUGACUUUCACCCAAGUGCCAGGUCCACGCCCUCGAGCAGCACGUCCAGCUCCCGCCCAGCUUCCCUGGGGUACAGUGGAGCCGCCGGACCCCGGCCCAUCACUCAGAGCGAGCUGGCCACGGCCCUGGCCCUGGCCAGCACUCCGGAGAGCAGCUCUCACACGCCAACUCCUGGCACCCAGGGCCAUUCCUCUGGGACCUCCCCAAUGUCCUCAGGCGUCCAGUCAGGGACGCCCAUCACCAACGAUCUGUUCAGCCAAGCCCUACAGCAUGCGCUGCAGGCCUCCGGGCAGCCCAGCCUUCAGAAUCAGAUGGAACUUGAAUCUUUGGAAAAGAACAGAGAGCAUUGGAAAUGCUUCAUCUUCAAGACUCUCGUCCAGAUGCCUCAUCUGCAAAACCCACCAGCUUAACUAAAAUGAGGAGGCCGGACCAAUCAUCAGCUCAUCUCUUAUUGAUACUCUCCAGCAUGGCUAAGAAUUCACCUUCCCCCAACCCAUUUUGGGGAUGGCAGACCGCAAGAUGAACAGAGCCAAGGACCCUGAAUGACAGUAAUGGAGAGCUUCCUCCCUGACCUGAAUAUCUGUCCAGGACUAUUAGUAACAAUUCACUCAUUGAAGAUGCCAUAAUUAAUAUUAAAGCAAACAACACAGAGGCUUCAUCGAGUUGGGGAAUGAGAGGAAAAGAGUUGUAGAAAAUGUACACAAACGUAAAUGCCAUUCUCCUGGCUCUUGA